rnacentral:rRNA from 1 species
AUUGAACGCUGGCGGCAGGCCUAACACAUGCAAGUCGAACGAGUGGCGGACGGGGGAGUAAUGUCUGGGAACCUGCGCGAUGGAGGGGGAUAACUACUGGAAACGGUAGCUAAUACCGCAUACCAUCGGAUGUGCCCAGAUGGGAUUGGCUAGUAGGGGGGGUAACGGCUCACCUAGGCGACGAUCCCUAGCUGGUCUGAGAGGAUGAUCAGCCACACUGGAACUGAGACACGGUCCAGACUCCUACGGGAGGCAGCAGUGGGGAAUAUUGCACAAUGGGCGCAAGCCUGAUGCAGCCAUGCCGCGUGUAUGAAGAAGGCCUUCGGGUUGUAAAGUACUUUCACCGAGGAGGCGUUACUCGCAGAAGAAGCACCGGCUAACUCCGUGCCAGCAGCCGCGGUAAUUC